UUCACUCGUUAUCUUUGCAUUGAUCAUAAAAUUUAGUUUCUUAGGGCAUUUUUUCGGUGAUAUCUUUAAACAAAAACUAUCUACAACAUUGUGGACUGCCCUUUCGUUCCGUCUUAGUGUUUUUAGUCACCUUUUUACCAUCUUUUCCUAUUUAGUUUUCUUUCCAACUAAAUCUUGUGAUUUAGUAGAUGAAUAGAUAAGGCCCGCCUAAAUAGAUUGGUAUAACAUAUAAAUGUUAAUUUUAAUCGAUAGUAUUUGGGUUCUGAAUAGUAAAAUAGUAAUCUACAAAUUUUAGAUAUUUAAGUU
rnacentral:sRNA from 1 species